AAAAAUGUUUUUAAAAGGCAGAUCAGCAUGCCAGAGUAACGGAGAGACUUUGACAGCCCAGGUUAUCACAGUGCCUGCUGUUGCCACUCAGCUCUCCUAUAUGU
ensembl:snoRNA LOC120094462 small nucleolar RNA SNORA44